rnacentral:lncRNA from 1 species
UCAGGAAAAGGAAGUCUAGUUUGCCUAGCCACGGAACAAACAGAAUAGGGAAAUUGUUGUUUGGAAGCAAAAGGAAAAGAUAAAGCAGCAAAAAGAAUGUGAGCCAGUCUUAAAUGCCAAAUGUAGUUCAUGUCAUUAGCAUCAGUUUUGUUAUGACAAAUGGAACUGUUUGCAUUGGAAUGUAAAGUAACAAGAUUAAGGUUAGAUGAACAAUCAUGAGUACAAGAAUCUUUAAUGGAGCAUACAGAAGUAGAAGAAGA